rfam:Geobacter uraniireducens Rf4, complete genome.
CUACCGACAUCGAGAGGUGUCGGGAUGGGAUGCCAGAAGUCAGCAGACGCCAUAUUAGUCGGCCUUACCAGUUGAUGAAGGGC